GGUAGCUCAGACGACCAGAGCUUUGCACUGGAUCAUGACAACCCUGAAGGACGGUGGCUUUGGCUCAGAGGCAGGUGUGCUGACCCUGGCAUCCCAAAGGGCCUUCGAUGAGCCAGAUGCUGAACCGAGCAGCAAGAGGAAAGUAGAGGAGCCAGGAGACGGCUACCACGUGAACGCCCGGCACCUCCUGUACCCCGAUGCUCUCAUCAUGCGCUUCCCUGUGCCCAACGAGAAGGUGCCCUGGGAGGUAAGUGUGAGCUAGCACACGAGGGGCUCGAGAGGUCCUCCCGUGGUCAUAGCG
rnacentral:lncRNA from 1 species